AAUCUCCUAUUUUUUGUUUUGCUUUCAAGCAGUCUCCUAUUGCUUUCAUUUACAUACUAUGUGAAAAGUAGCUAAAAAUUGCUGGACUAUAUCAAAUGGUUGGAACAGAUAGCUACUAAACAGGGCUUAUUAUGAUUGUUCAUGUUUUAACUUAAUAAAAGUCCAUGCUGCUAUGUCAACAUUGUACUUAUAAUCUUGGGACAGGUUUGGUUCCUUUUCCCUCCGGAAAAAGGUAUUCCUUCAAGGAUGAUGUGUGCUUGACAACUGAAAAUGUUACACAAAAGUUCAACCUGAUAUCUCAUGCACCCAGGAAAAUAAUGCACUAUGUUUAGUUUGACUUGAAAUCAUACAUUGUUUUGAAGACAUUCAGGGCUAAAACCGGAGAGAUUGUUAAUCUAAUAAAAAAAAUUGUUCAGAAGAGCUGAUGAGAUUCCUCUGGCCUUUGUGGUCACAAUGAAACAUACCGAAGAAAAAAUCAGAUUGGAAUGCAAAGAGACGAUGAUUCAAACAUGGGUGUCUCAAUUCUCACAUCGCCAGCCACAUGUUGAUGAUGCUGAUGGGCAUUUGCAUACCCUUUUUCUAAAUAUUCCUUUAAGGGAAUUAGCAUAGUUUCAAGGUGCUUUAAGUGAAAUCGAAGUUCAGAGGGGGUUACAGUAACAAUGGUAUGCACUUGUUCCAUCUUUUUUGGUGUAUGUUAUUGGUAAAAAAUGGUGGUUGUUGUAACUUGUAAGAGUUGCAUUAUCAUCCCCACCACAUGCCACCCACAUGCAUCUUGUUUUGUGCUCUUCAACUCUUACAUAGAUUCUCUAUUUCUCUCACUUAUCAUGCAAUUGAGCCCACUAGGAAUUGGUUUUGCAAGUUGAAAGAACCUUUUGUCUUAGCUUUGUGUAAAACUUCAAUCGGAAUAGAAAGAGAGAGAGAGAGUGGAUUGGAGUAGGGGGAGGGAGGGGACCAUAUAUUCUAUUGUAGCUGUUGAUUGUUGUUUCUGCCAUCACUGUUUAUAGAUAAUGUGGACCAAGACAACAUUGUAGUGUUAUGUGCCUAAACCACAUCCUAUAUAUGAAAUUUUUUGUUCCUAAAAAUUGUUGGAAUCCCAUUAAGAGGGUGCACAUGUACAUCAAUUUCAACCCACCUCUCAUUGACUUGUUUGAAGAUACCAAUGUGACUGUUGAGUUUUUUUAAUACUUCAGGUGUGAAAACUCGAACCUAUGAUCAUGAGGACAUGAAUUAUUAUCUCGAGUCUUCACUGGUUGUUGUGUUAUCUUCUUUUGGAGACUAAUUGAGAUUGUGUGAAACUGGAAAUCCUGAAAAAAAAGAGAUGAAAAUAGUAUAGAAAUAAAAAGGAAAAGAAUAUAGCAAUACUAAAAUAAUUGUGGAAGGCAAUCUUCUCUUUCACUCUUAAAUUGGUUGUCUCCUAACAAAUGGGCUACCCUAAAUGUUAGUCCUUUUCUUAUUUCUUUGUCUCCCUCCAUCUCUUUCUAUCUAUUGGGUAGUCUAAUUUAGUGUAAUAAGGGUCAAUGUCUAACAACUGUUGAUGAAUAAAUGAGCUCGUGACUGAAAGUUCCUUGUUGAAUAACAACAAUGUUUGGUGAACCCCAUUUGUAUAUAGUAAUGUUUGGGAAUGAAAUUUAUUAAGACGAAGUCUUAUAUUCAAUUUCAUUUAAAAUAUCAUA